rnacentral:lncRNA from 1 species
CCACCUCCACCCGCCCCCACCGCGGCCCAACUUGGAGGGAAUUGGGGUCCUGAGCGCCUGCCCCCCACAGCCGCCAGCGCAGAGCCACGCGCUGCCACCUUCGGUCUGGGACCCCUCUCUGCUGUUCUCCGCCCCCGCGGUGGGAAAAGUGGGCGCCGGCGGCUGCUUCCCAGCCCUGCUGAACCGAAAGUUCUGGGUUUCAGCGGGAGAUGGGGGCGCGCCACCGCGACCAGGUGCAGGAGAGGAGGCCACUUCGCACAGAAUCAGCAACUGUCCAAUGGUCUGGCCCGCACAGCAGGAGUUGUGAGGUUCCCACGUGGCUGGGUACAAGGGGAACGUUCCAAAGCCCGUUGGUUGGUCUGUUGGAAUGUGGGGGCGGGUGGGGCUUCUGGACUGGGAAGUGCUGCGCACCUUCCCUCAUCUGCUGAGCGAUCUGGCUUCACUGCUUCAUGCUACACACCCGACAGCUGAAUAGUUUUCUCCAAAUCUCUUAUUUCCCGACUCCUUGGCCACCAUGUGUGAAGCUGAAGAUCAGACCAAAAGGGGAAGGGGUUAAAAUAUAAUAUCUGGGGUUCGACCAUUAAAAAGUUUAAAUUUACAGAUUGAACAGGAGAAUCUGGAACCAGGAGUGAGCAGAGCUGGCCCCAGGCCUUGGUGGCUGUGUACUAGUUCUGUGACCUGCAAUCAGUCACUUAACUUCUGUGAGCUCCUCUCUUUCCGUCUGUAAAAAAGGAAUAUGUACUACCCACUUCCUGAGUAGAUGUUGAAGAUGUUGUAAAAGGUUCGAGUCAACCAAUUAAAAGCAAUAGAUCACAUGAAGAUGAGUAUAUCUUCUGUUUGUUGGGACAUAAUCCAGAGAGGAUCUUUCUCCCCAGAUAUUAUGGGAUGGCCACAUUUUACAGCUGAGAGUGACAAGGCUUAGAAACUAAACAUAUAAGGUCCUGCCCCAUCUCCUGGAAGAAGGAAUGCUACACAGAGAGGCUAAGAAGACUCUGGACAGUGCAGAAUCUGGAGCUAGAGAAAAAUUUAAAAAGCCACAAGGAUGUGAAUUGCUGAGCCUGAGAUAGAAGAGGUAGGGAAAAAAAACAUAAGAACCUGCUUGUCUUCUGUUGAGUUAAAACGAACUAUUUUUUAAAAUAGUGUGAAAUAAAGGAAAUGAGAGACAUAUUAAGGAUAUGCUACAGUGAAUGUAGAGACAAGUG